AUGGUGUGUAGGAUCAACAAAAUAAAAAUGUGUGCCUUUGGUGUCAUAUCUUCCCUUUGGUACCUAACAGGAACUCUUGAUCACUUCGUCCUUCAAGCAAAAUUAAGCUGGAAAUAUGGUCAAAGUGGUCAAAUUGAGCUCUUGGGUAAAUUCACCAAGCUCCCCAAUUUCCAAAGAAAGAGGGUUGCCCAAAACCUCAUUGAUUGCAUUCUGAUUAAACCUCAAAUUUUCCCUCUCACAAAAGUGGGGAACAUGAAUGGCUCUCCAUCAUUUGGAAGAGCAUUCACAUAG